GAUGAAGAACGUAGCAAAAUGCGAUACUUGGUGUGAAUUGCAGAAUCCCGUGAACCAUCGAGUUUUUGAACGCAAGUUGCGCCCGAAGCCUUUUGGCCGAGGGCACGUCUGCCUGGGCGUCACGCAUCGCGUCGCCCCCCACAAUUCUCCGUAAAGGGAACAUGUGUUUUGGGGGCGGAUAUUGGUCUCCCGUGCUCAUGGCGUGGUUGGCCGAAAUAGGAGUCCUUUCGAUGGACGCACGAACUAGUGGUGGUCGUAAAAACCCUCGUCUUUUGUUUCGUGUUGUUGCUCGCAAGGUAAACUCUUUAAAAACCCCAAUGUGUCGUCUCUUGACGACGCUUCGACCGCGACCCCAGGUCAGGCGGGACUACCCGCUGAGUUUAAGCAUAUCAAUAAGCGGAGGA
rnacentral:misc_RNA from 1 species